UCCAGACUCCUACGGGAGGCAGCAGUGAGGAAUAUUGGUCAAUGGCCGAGAGGCUGAACCAGCCAAGUCGCGUGAGGGAAGACGGCCCUACGGGUUGUAAACCUCUUUUGUCGGGGAGCAAAAGCCGGACGUGUCCGGCUGUGAGAGUACCCGAAGAAAAAGCAUCGGCUAACUCCGUGCCAGCAGCCGCGGUAAUACGGAGGAUGCGAGCGUUAUCCGGAUUUAUUGGGUUUAAAGGGUGCGUAGGCGGAAUGCCAAGUCAGCGGUAAAAUCGCGGGGCUCAACCCCGUCGAGCCGUUGAAACUGGCAGACUUGAGUUGGCGAGAAGUACGCGGAAUGCGCGGUGUAGCGGUGAAAUGCAUAGAUAUCGCGCAGAACUCCGAUUGCGAAGGCAGCGUACCGGCGCCAGACUGACGCUGAGGCACGAAAGCGUGGGGAUCGAACAGGAUUAGAUACCCGAGUAAG
rnacentral:rRNA from 1 species